AACACAUCAGCGGAAGAAGACAAAAGCAGCUGGUCUUGGAGAAUCCGCCAGGGGAAGAGCACACUGGCAGGCACCGCAGGCCAUCGAUCGUCAGAAAGACACGGAGUUUGGCCAGAAUUAUCAGAGAAGAGUUUGGCCAGAGGGGUCAGAGAAGACUCCAGCGGAAAACCAUCUCCCCUGUGACUCCAGAAUCUUCUGAGAGCUACUUCUACUUAAUAAAACCUUGCACUCAUUCUCCAAGCCCACAUGUGAUCCGAUUCAUCCAGUACACCAAGUGUCCAGGGACAUCUAGAUGAUAGAAGUUCCUUCAGAUGGGUCCCUGGUGUGAGGGUGUCCUGUAUCAGACUGCCUAUUGAAGUUCAACCUGUGGUUCAAGACAGGAUCUCAUUCAGAAUACUACUUUCAUUCAGGCUGGAGUGC
rnacentral:lncRNA from 1 species